rnacentral:rRNA from 1 species
AUUGAACGCUGGCGGCAGGCCUAACACAUGCAAGUCGAACGGUAACAGGAAGAAGCUUGCUUCUUUGCUGACGAGUGGCGGACGGGUGAGGAAUGUCUGGGAAACUGCCUGAUGGAGGGGGAUAACUACUGGAAACGGUAGCUAAUACCGCAUAACGUCGCAAGGCCAAAGAGGGGGACCUUCGGGCCUCUUGCCAUCGGAUGUGCCCAGAUGGGAUUAGCUAGUAGGUGGGGUAACGGCUCACCUAGGCGACGAUCCCUAGCUGGUCUGAGAGGAUGACCAGCCACACUGGAACUGAGACACGGUCCAGACUCCUACGGGAGGCAGCAGUGGGGAAUAUUGCACAAUGGGCGCAAGCCUGAUGCAGCCAUGCCGCGUGUAUGAAGAAGGCCUUCGGGUUGUAAAGUACUUUCAGCGGGGAGGAAGGGAGUAAAGUUAAUACCUUUGCUCAUUGACGUUACCCGCAGAAGAAGCACCGGCUAACUCCGUG